GCAAGAGGGAGCAAGCGUUGUCAGGAGUUACUGGGCGUAACGGGCGAGGAGGCGGUCUGCGGCGCCGGGGCUGAAAGCGCCCCGCUUAACGGGGCGAGGCGUGCCGAUACGCGCAGGCUCGAGGCGGGCAGAGGGUGGUGGAAUUCCGGGUGGAGCAGUGAAAUGCGUAGAGACCCGGAGGAACGCCCGUGGGGAAGCCGGCCACCUGGGCUCGGCCUGACGCUGCGGCGAGACCGCGUGGGGAGCAAACCGG
rnacentral:rRNA from 1 species